CCUACGGGUGGCUGCAGUAAGGAAUAUUGGUCAAUGGAGGAAACUCUGAACCAGCCAUCCCGCGUGAAGGAUGAAGGGGCUCUGCCUUGUAAACUUCUUUUGUCUGGGGCGAAAAAGCUCGAUUUAUCGAGAACUGACGGUACCAGAAGAAUAAGCACCGGCUAACUCCGUGCCAGCAGCCGCGGUAAUACGGAGGGUGCAGGAAUUAUCGGGUAUAACUGGGUUUAAGGGGUCCGUAGACGGCUUAGGAGAAAGCCUGUGGCUUAACCAUGGAAUUGCCAUUGAUACUGCAGGGCUUGAAUGAGGUUGAGGUUGGCGGAAUGUGACAUGUAGCGGUGAAAUGCUUAGAUAUGUCAUGGAACACCGAUUGCGAAGGCAGCUGACUGGACCUAUAUUGACGCUGAGGCACGAAAGCGUGGGGAGCGAACAGGAUUAGAUACCCGGGUAGUC
rnacentral:rRNA from 1 species